rnacentral:rRNA from 1 species
GAUGAACGCUGGCGGCGUGCCUAAUACAUGCCAGUCGAGCGAACGGACGAGAAGCUUGCUUCUCUGAUGUUAGCGGCGGACGGGUGAGUAACACGUGGAUAACCUACCUAUAAGACUGGGAUAACUUCGGGAAACCGUAGCUAAUACCGGAUAAUAUUUUGAACCGCAUGGUUCAAAAGUGAAAGACGGUCUUGCUGUCACUUAUAGAUGGUUCCGCGCUGCAUUAGCUAGUUGGUAAGGUAACGGCUUACCAAGGCAACGAUGCAUAGCCGACCUGAGAGGGUGAUAGGCCACACUGGAACUGGGACACGGUCCAGACUCCUACGGGAGGCAGCAGUAGGGAAUCUUCCGCAAUGGGCGAAAGCCUGACGGAGCAACGCCGCGUGAGUGAUGAAGGUCUUCGGAUCGUAAAACUCUGUUAUUAGGGAAGAACAUAUGUGUAAGUAACUGUGCACAUCUUGACGGUACCUAAUCAGAAAGCAACGGCUAACUACGUG